GACGAACGCUGGCGGCGUGCUUAACACAUGCAAGUCGAACGGAAAGGCCCUGCUUUUGUGGGGUGCUCGAGUGGCGAACGGGUGAGUAACACGUGAUUAACCUGCCCUUGACUUUGGGAUAACUUCAGGAAACUGGGGCUAAUACCGGAUAGGAGCUCCUGCUGCAUGGUGGGGGUUGGAAAGUUUCGGCGGUUGGGGAUGGACUCGCGGCUUAUCAGCUUGUUGGUGGGGUAGUGGCUUACCAAGGCUUUGACGGGUAGCCGGCCUGAGAGGGUGACCGGCAACAUUGGGACUGAGAUACGGCCCAGACUCAUACGGGAAGAAGCAGUGGGGAAUAUUGCACAAUGGGCGGAAGCCUGAUGCAGCAACGCCGCGUGCGGGAUGACGGCCUUCGGGUUGUAAACCGCUUUCGCCUGUGACGAAGCGUGAGUGACGGUAAUGGGUAAAGAAGCACCGGCUAACUACGUG
rnacentral:rRNA from 1 species